rnacentral:lncRNA from 10 species
GACCAAAGUACGCCUACAACUUGCCAAUUUGCAGGUAACAAGAUCUGCAAUAAACACCACCAGGUUGAAAAGUCAGGUUCUGGAAUUGGCUGUCUGGAUUAAAAUACUGGUUCCAUCACUGAGAAGCUGUGUGACCUUGCGAAAAUUACUUAAUCUCUUUGUGUUUCAGUUUUCUGAUCUGUAAAAUGAAGUCAAUAAUGGUAUUAAACUCCUGUGAAUUUCUGUGUGUUGAUGGUGAAGUUGGUGGGAGGAUGGUGAUGAGACUUACUUGAAGACAG